rnacentral:rRNA from 1 species
GCCCUUGCUCAGCCCGCGCGCGUUUAGUUAUCCACACUCGGUNUCAGGUUGGUUUCACGCUCUUUCACCCCUGGCCGGGUCGUUUCCCAGCCUCCCUGCGUGCCGGGCCGCGCGCGCCUCGGGUGGCGCGUGGCGGCGGGUGCGCCUCUCGGCCUCUCCUCUGUCGGGGGGCUCCGUCAGGGCACACACCUUCACGCUCACAUUCACCCGCCAUCACGCACCCUCACGCGGUAGCACACAUGCCCACGGGGGCAUCUUCCGGCACUCUUUUGGCGCCGCAUUGCACAUGCAGCCCGCAUUGUCUGCGCAUUCAGCUUCAGUUCUGCGCCGGUGGGUCNCAACAGGCCCCCACCCACAAGGCUGCACGCAUCCCGGUCAGCCUUUCGGGUUCUUAGCAAGGCCAAGCGGCAUUAGGCAAUCCCCAGGCUCCUGCNCCUACCUUUAGGCCACNACCUUAGCAUGGCACCACCUGGGGGUUCCCCCCUNGGCCACNUUCUCCUUUCACCGCGCGGGGGCCAUGCGGCCCAGGCCCAGGUCGGGGGCGGCCACAAUUCCAUUAUGGGGGCCCCACUAGUUGGGGUGGCCUGGCCCUCCAAAGCCCCUUGGNCAUUUUCCCCCANGUGUCUCCUCAUUAACCCCGGCUCGGUUUGGGGGGGUUAGGGCCAAGCAUGCCACACGUGGNGCCGUUUUUUCCCGGGCCGGCGGUUUAUUGGGUUCNACAGCNAAUGGGCCCCCCCUUAUUAGCAUCGGGUUAGUCGGGCGGCGCCACCACACCGGCCACNCANACAUUUUCCCCCNGGCCUCNGGGGGCUGUUCACAAUUCUACGCCCCGUUUGGGCGGUUUAUAUAGGGAGGGGGCCAUUAGGCACCCUGGGAGGUGUACACCUCCCCUNACAGGAGGGCCCCCGUUUCNCACAAGGCCCGAUCCCCCGAGGGGCUCUUUNGCCAUACGCCUGUUUUACCGUGGUUUGAGGCCCCCCAGAAGGCAACGCCCCANACCCGAGGGUUUUCACACUUUACCCGGCACNCCUGGUGGGUGCUUUGG